CGUGGUUCGCGUCCAAAAAGCUCAAUGGCGGGUGAGGCCGCUGCUGCCAAAGCUAGGCGCGAAGAGCGUUUGGCGAGCAACAGUGCUGCCAGCGGCUCCGCUGGAGAAGGAGAAGUAGCGGGGCAAAAUGCUGAGUCGGCGUGGUUCCUCUCGGAUGGCACCGCCGUCGACGAGGCAGGAGGGCGGAUGGACGCCGCCGGUGUAAACCGAAUGAAGCAGACGUUUUGGUUGCCGGGCUCCGUGAAGCUGCGCCCGCCGACAGCGGAUGAGAAGGCCUCGAUUCUCCCGGCGGGACUUGCUGCCGUUCACGAGGCGAUAUUCCGCCAAGGAGUGACAUUCCCGCUGGUGCCAAAUCUCCAAAUCUUGGUGUACGAAUUUGGCCUUGCCUUUGGUCAGAUUUGCCCCAACAUGUGGCGGUUGAUGUUGGCCAUGAACUCACUCUGGCGGUUGUCCGGGUGCGAGGGGCCUACUGUGGCGGAAGUGCUUCACUUCUACGAGCUGGUGUACGUGAAGCGCCGAGGUUGCAAAGGGCAAGUGAACUUGAGCCGCCGGCAGGGAGCGCCCAAGCUGAUCGAGAAUCUAAGGGACUCAAUGUCCUACUAGCGGGGGACCUUCUGCGUCGCCACAGAGGGUUGGGAGUAUCACGCCAGGUCGAACGUAGUUGGCGGGUUUACGUAUCUGCACUUGUAUUGUCACUAACGAUUACCGUUUUUGUGCAGCGGGACUGCGGUACACGCUAACGAGCGAAGAAGAGUGCCGCAUAGCGAGGAUCAGAGGUUGCUGGCGGAACCGCAACUUGCUAGAUUUCCGACUUCUGACCGGUUGGGAGUUGCUGGUCGACCAGCGGCUAACGCGUUCCAUUGGUGAGAAAUCUCCGCCAGACCGUUUUCUCCCUUUUUUUUUGUAAGUGUGAUCUGGACUGACAAAUUUUUUUUUUAGAAACUCCGCCGGGCAAUAAAUCAAGUCGCGACGCUUUCGAAAAGGCCAUGGACCGCGCGGAGAUAGACGACUUUCUGGAGGCCAUGUACGCCGAGGGGCUGGCGGCUCAGCAGACGCUGGUGAACCCCGAGACACUGGCACUGAGUCAGUCCGAGGUUCCCGUGGUGCUGCCUAUGCCCCAUCACUCCCAUCUUGGUGAGGAUGGACUGCCGGUAGUGCAGACGGGGACCCAAGCGGCUGGCGGGGAGAGGGGAAGCGUUGCGGCUGGGCAACAGAAGGAGCGGAUGCCUGCUCAGAGGCGUGGCCCUCAAAAGGGGAAGGUGGUGCAACCGGCGGAGUCGCCAGUGAGGGUGACGAGGACCGCCGCCGGGAACCAAAGGGCGCUGGAGAGAAAACGCCGGCAGGUUGAUUCUCCUGACGAGGAAGAGGAAGAGGAGGUUGAGGUAAUCGGGGCCCGUCGACAGAAGAAGGCUCGCCCAGCUCCUUCGAAAACUGUUGCGGUGGAGGGAGAGGCGCCCGCCAUUAGUGAUCUGGACUCGUUUGCUGAGUACGCCGCGUUCAUGACAGAUGGUGAGCGGGAGUUCCUCUUCCAUCUAUGCGAACGGCUAGGGUUCGGCGGCCUAGCGGGCAUCUCGCGCCCCACGGCAAUUGACCAAUCGCCCUUCAGCUCGGCGUUUGGGCAAAUAUCGGCGGGACUGCACGACAUGUUCGUGGCGGCGUCGAAGCGGCCCCUGAUUGAGGGGGAGCUCAGGGAUGAAAUCCAAGGUCUCCAGAAGGAGUUGGCGGAGGCGAAGGAGAAGCUGGCGGUGGCGGAGCGGGGGCUUGCCAAGGCGGAAUGUGACUAUGCCGACGUCCGCGGUAAGCUCAAUGUAGCCAUUGAGCGGGACUUGGAGAGGAAUGAAUAUGUCUCCAAGUUGGAGCAAGACAUCGUCCUGCUGCAGGAGCGGAUAGCCGCCAAGGAUAAAAAACUCAUUAUUGUGCAGCGGGAGUCCGCCGACAGAAUGGCUGAAGUGAAGCGGCUGGGGGGUGAGGUUAACCGGCUGAGGGCUGAAGGGAGUACCGCUGCGGCCGCCGCCGUUGAGGCGUUCAAGCAGUCGGCGGAGUUUAAGAAGGCAAUGACCGAGUCGGCGAAGGCUGGGGCCCGAGCAAAUAUAGACAUGCUGAAGCGGAAGGGCGCCAUUGACUUCGCCAAAGCGUCACAGCCCGACGCGCCGCCGGUUGAGAGUAUCCCGCCGGAGACAGACGUGCCUGCCCCAUCCGGAGGUGCCUGCUUGGGCAGCGGAGAAAGUGGCGCUCAUCCGGCGGCAGGGUCCCAGCAGACUCCCCACCCCACCCCGUCGGAGGUGUCACGUGCUGGAUUCCUGGAGGCACACACCCGGGCGGAUGGUACCAUGGAGACCCCCAGUCCGACGGUGCGAGGGUCCGACCAAGCGAGUCGAUCGAUCGUGCCGCCGCCCGCCG
rnacentral:lncRNA from 1 species